rnacentral:rRNA from 1 species
UACGUAGGGGGCAAGCGUUGUCCGGAUUUAUUGGGCGUAAAGAGCGUGUAGGCGGCCAGGUAGGUCAGCUGUGAAAACUCGAGGCUCAACCUCGAGACGCCGGUUGAAACCAUCUGGCUAGAGUCCGGAAGAGGAGAGUGAAAUUCCUGGUGUAGCGGUGAAAUGCGCAGAUAUCAGGAAGAACACCCGUGGCUAAGGCGGCUCUCUAGUACGGUACUGACGCUGAGACGCGCAAGCGUGGGGAGCAAACAGG